rnacentral:rRNA from 1 species
GGGUUGUGAGGUUAAGCGACUAAGCGUACACGGUGGAUGCCCUGGCAGUCAGAGGCGAUGAAGGACGUGCUAAUCUGCGAUAAGCGCCGGUAAGGUGAUAUGAACCGUUAUAACCGGCGAUUUCCGAAUGGGGAAACCCAGUGUGAUUCGUCACACUAUCAUUAACUGAAUCCAUAGGUUAAUGAGGCGAACCGGGGGAACUGAAACAUCUAAGUACCCCGAGGAAAAGAAAUCAACCGAGAUUCCCCCAGUAGCGGCGAGCGAACGGGGAGGAGCCCAGAGCCUGAAUCAGCAUGUGUGUUAGUGGAAGCGUCUGGAAAGGUGCGCGAUACAGGGUGACAGCCCCGUACACAAAAGCGCAUGUGCUGUGAGCUCGAUGAGUAGGGCGGGACACGUGGUAUCCUGUCUGAAUAUGGGGGGACCAUCCUCCAAGGCUAAAUACUCCUGACUGACCGAUAGUGAACCAGUACCGUGAGGGAAAGGCGAAAAGAACCCCGGCGAGGGGAGUGAAAAAGAACCUGAAACCGUGUACGUACAAGCAGUGGGAGCACAGGUUUACCUGUGUGACUGCGUACCUUUUGUAUAAUGGGUCAGCGACUUAUAUUCUGUAGCAAGGUUAACCGUAUAGGGGAGCCGUAGGGAAACCGAGUCUUAACCGGGCGUUAAGUUGCAGGGUAUAGACCCGAAACCCGGUGAUCUAGCCAUGGGCAGGUUGAAGGUUGGGUAACACUAACUGGAGGACCGAACCGACUAAUGUUGAAAAAUUAGCGGAUGACCUGUGGCUGGGGGUGAAAGGCCAAUCAAACCGGGAGAUAGCUGGUUCUCCCCGAAAGCUAUUUAGGUAGCGCCUCGUGAAUUCAUCUCCGGGGGUAGAGCACUGUUUCGGCUAGGGGGCCAUCCCGGCUUACCAACCCGAUGCAAACUGCGAAUACCGGAGAAUGUUAUCACGGGAGACACACGGCGGGUGCUAACGUCCGUCGUGAAGAGGGAAACAACCCAGACCGCCAGCUAAGGUCCCAAAGUCAUGGUUAAGUGGGAAACGAUGUGGGAAGGCCCAGACAGCCAGGAUGUUGGCUUAGAAGCAGCCAUCAUUUAAAGAAAGCGUAAUAGCUCACUGGUCGAGUCGGCCUGCGCGGAAGAUGUAACGGGGCUAAACCAUGCACCGAAGCUGCGGCAGCGAACGUAUCACCCAAGACAACUUUACGGAGUUGACGAUUGACGGAGCGAAGCGACGUCAAAGCGUUCAUUAAAGUCGAGUUGGCUUAGGGAUACGUUCGUUGGGUAGGGGAGCGUUCUGUAAGCCUGUGAAGGUGUGUCGUGAGGCAUGCUGGAGGUAUCAGAAGUGCGAAUGCUGACAUAAGUAACGAUAAAGCGGGUGAAAAGCCCGCUCGCCGGAAGACCAAGGGUUCCUGUCCAACGUUAAUCGGGGCAGGGUGAGUCGACCCCUAAGGCGAGGCCGAAAGGCGUAGUCGAUGGGAAACGGGUUAAUAUUCCCGUACUUGGUGUUACUGCGAAGGGGGGACGGAGAAGGCUAUGUUGGCCGGGCGACGGUUGUCCCGGUUUAAGCGUGUAGGUGUGUGUUCCAGGUAAAUCCGGUUCACUUUAACACUGAGGCGUGACGACGAGGCACUACGGUGCUGAAGCAACAAAUGCCCUGCUUCCAGGAAAAGCCUCUAAGCAUCAGGUAACAUCAAAUCGUACCCCAAACCGACACAGGUGGUCAGGUAGAGAAUACCAAGGCGCUUGAGAGAACUCGGGUGAAGGAACUAGGCAAAAUGGUGCCGUAACUUCGGGAGAAGGCACGCUGACACGUAGGUGAAGUGAUUUACUCAUGGAGCUGAAGUCAGUCGAAGAUACCAGCUGGCUGCAACUGUUUAUUAAAAACACAGCACUGUGCAAACACGAAAGUGGACGUAUACGGUGUGACGCCUGCCCGGUGCCGGAAGGUUAAUUGAUGGGGUCAGCGUAAGCGAAGCUCCUGAUCGAAGCCCCGGUAAACGGCGGCCGUAACUAUAACGGUCCUAAGGUAGCGAAAUUCCUUGUCGGGUAAGUUCCGACCUGCACGAAUGGCGUAAUGAUGGCCAGGCUGUCUCCACCCGAGACUCAGUGAAAUUGAACUCGCUGUGAAGAUGCAGUGUACCCGCGGCAAGACGGAAAGACCCCGUGAACCUUUACUAUAGCUUGACACUGAACAUUGAGCCUUGAUGUGUAGGAUAGGUGGGAGGCUUUGAAGUGUGGACGCCAGUCUGCAUGGAGCCGACCUUGAAAUACCACCCUUUAAUGUUUGAUGUUCUAACGUGGACCCGUAAUCCGGGUUGCGGACAGUGUCUGGUGGGUAGUUUGACUGGGGCGGUCUCCUCCUAAAGAGUAACGGAGGAGCACGAAGGUUGGCUAAUCCUGGUCGGACAUCAGGAGGUUAGUGCAAUGGCAUAAGCCAGCUUGACUGCGAGCGUGACGGCGCGAGCAGGUGCGAAAGCAGGUCAUAGUGAUCCGGUGGUUCUGAAUGGAAGGGCCAUCGCUCAACGGAUAAAAGGUACUCCGGGGAUAACAGGCUGAUACCGCCCAAGAGUUCAUAUCGACGGCGGUGUUUGGCACCUCGAUGUCGGCUCAUCACAUCCUGGGGCUGAAGUAGGUCCCAAGGGUAUGGCUGUUCGCCAUUUAAAGUGGUACGCGAGCUGGGUUUAGAACGUCGUGAGACAGUUCGGUCCCUAUCUGCCGUGGGCGCUGGAGAACUGAGGGGGGCUGCUCCUAGUACGAGAGGACCGGAGUGGACGCAUCACUGGUGUUCGGGUUGUCAUGCCAAUGGCACUGCCCGGUAGCUAAAUGCGGAAGAGAUAAGUGCUGAAAGCAUCUAAGCACGAAACUUGCCCCGAGAUGAGUUCUCCCUGAGACUUAGAGUCUCCUGAAGGAACGUUGAAGACGACCGUUGAUAGGCCGGGUGUGUAAGCGCAGCUGCGAGCUAACCGGUUAAUGAACCGUGAGGCUUAACCUUACAACGCCGAAG